UUGGAGGCGAUGUCAUUGCGCUGUGUUUUGGCUGGUAUUAUGUUGGGGGGGUACACGGAGAACUGCAGCAGCCAGGCAGUAACCAGCGGCUGAGGAUCGUGGGGAAGUCCAGAAAAUCAGGUGCAAAAGUGCAGGCAGGUUUGAGGAGAU